UACGUAGGGGGGCAAGCGUUGUUCGGAUUCAUUGGGCGUAAAGGGUGCGUAGGCGGCGCGGUAAGUCGGGUGUGAAAUCUCGGAGCUUAACUCCGAAACUGCAUUCGAUACUGCCGUGCUUGAGGACUGGAGAGGAGACUGGAAUUCAUGGUGUAGCAGUGAAAUGCGUAGAGAUGUGGAGGAACACCAGUGGCGAAGGCGACUCGCUGGAACGGUACUGACGCUGAGGCGCGAAAGCGUGGGGAGCGAA
rnacentral:rRNA from 1 species